UCCACCCCAAGCCUGCCACUGCACCCUGAGAUGAAAGUGUUCAGAGCCAGUUCCCAGAUGGCUUUGGUCAGUGUGAUCGGGGACGCAGCAUACUUCCUAGGGAGGACUGUGAGGGAGACUCUGAAGGCAUGGAGCUGACUACGUGCAGGUGUGCGUGUGUGUGCGCAUUCGCACGCGCAGGGAGGUGGGAGAUGCUCAGGGCCCUUUCCAAAGCCCAGGGAGGAAAACAGCUUCAGGGCCUCAUAGUUCCACUUGAGUCGGGGCUUUCCUGUGCGCCAGAGGUGGCUGACAUCAGAGAAGCUUGUGCUGGCCAGAGUGCUCCAGGCAACUGUCAUGUCAUGGGGGGAGGUGCACGAGGUCCCUUGAGCCCCAAGGAUGCAUCAUCUCGGAAUGAUGAGAUGGUCUCUGGCCCAGUGAAGCCGUCAGAGCCCUGUGGCCCAGCAGAUGUCUUGAUUGCAAACCCAUGAGGGACCCUGAGCCGAGACCACCAGGGGACAGAGACCCCAGGCGUCCCCUCGUGAUCUUGCCCUUUUCCGACAUGGGCACCUGGAUGAGAGAACCUGCGGAUGGAGGAGAAAACCUGAGCCCCCUCCCAGGACGACCGUGAGCCCCUGGCCCUGGUUUGAAGGUUGGGGUGUCAGCGGCAGCAGCAGAGGCACAGGGCCAUCCUAGUUCCUGUCAGCAAAUGCCUGGGGACUCUCCUUCCAGCCCCUCCUCGGUGUGUGGUGGGGUGGGGGAGCCACCAGAGAAACUAUGCAGGGUCCCUUGAACUUCCAGUCGGGGGGCCAGGGCCUUGGCUGCAAAGGAACCCUGAAGGGCUCGACCCAUGAGGCAAGACUGAGGCUGCGUCAGGUCUGAGGGUGGCAGGGGCCGGACUAGUGGGGAGCUGGCUGCGGCCCCAGGGAUGGGCAGGUUCCAUCGCACUGCCACUCUCCCGCCACCAGACAUCACCCGCCAAUCACAGCACUUAGCUGCAGAGCCCAGACUGAGCCGAGUCCUCACAAGGUGCACCAGGAAGCCAUUACUGGGCAGAGCAGGUGGCUGUGAAGAGACCCAUUUGCUGUCCCUCUUCUGGUCCCACCCUGCCACACAUGCUCCACUGGGCCUCCUUCCCCACUGGUCUUGGGAUUCAGGCACACAAGGCCCCCGGUGGGAUCUGACUAUGGCGUGCCUCCCAGUUCCUCUUGUCAUUGUCUCCAACCUCUGUGACAAACUUUAUUCUAGGUCACAUUGCCCUAAAUGCCGCCCUGGGCCUGGAAAGCCUUCACUCCAGUGACACCAUGACCUCUGUCUUCUCCUUCAAGCUCCACCUGUGCUGUCGCCUGGGGACAGCCAUCAUGGAUGUGCUUGGCCACACUCAGCCUCCCACCUCAGAAUGUCCACCUGGGCUGCUUCUCCGCUUCCGUCUCUUUCUGAGUCUACACAGGGGGCUUCUGGAGGCAGGGGCUGGCUCCUUCUCUGAGCAACCCCAGAGCCCCAUGGAGGCCUGACCCGGACAGUGCAGGGGUCACUCACUGCUGGCUACAUGACUCACACAUGGGAAAGGGCUGGCUGGACUGCCUGUCCUGUCUGCAGUCCCCCCCACUGUGUGUGUGUGGGAAGCUUUGGCUCAGCUCUGAGGUCCCCAAGCUGGAAGUCAGAACCCUGGGCCAGGGCAAGCUGCACACCUGAUCCUGCUGGAAGGACAUGUCAGUGUUUACAACAGAAAACCCAAGGCCAUCUGGGCAGACUCGUGUUUAUCUCGGGAGAGAAGGAAACUGUGAGGACCAACCAUACCCGCGCCUGGAGGUAGAGAUUCCAUCAUCUGCAAUCACCGCAGCAGGUUUGGGCACAAGGCAGAGCAGCCAAACCAAGUGGCGGUGUCCCUGAGUGUCACCUCCCUCCCACUGUGGGGCCAACUGGGGGUGGCGGGGGGAAGGGGAGUGCAGUCA